UGGCUCUUAGCUCAAUUUGGUAGAGCAGCGGUCUCCAAAACCGCCGGUUGCAGGUUCGAGCCCUGCAGAGCCAGCC
rnacentral:tRNA from 3 species